rnacentral:rRNA from 1 species
AGGGUGAACGCUAGCUACAGGCUAACACAUGCAAGUCGAGGGGCAGCAUGAAACUUAGCUUGCUAAGUUUGAUGGCGACCGGCGCACGGGGUGAGUAACACGUAUCCAACCUACCGUUUACUACGGGAUAGCCUUCUGAAAAAGGAGAUUAAUACCGUAUGGCAUUCUAAAGUUUCAUGACAUUAGAAUUAAAGGUUUACCGGUAAUCGAUGGGGAUGCGUUCCAUUAGAUAGUAGGCGGGGUAACGGCCCACCUAGUCAGCGAUGGAUAGGGGUUCUGAGAGGAAGGUCCCCCACAUUGGAACUGAGACACGGUCCAAACUCCUACGGGAGGCAGCAGUGAGGAAUAUUGGUCAAUGGGCGAGAGCCUGAACCAGCCAAGUAAGCGUGAAGGAUGACUGCCCUAUGGGUUGUAAACUUCUUUUAUAAAGGAAUAAAGUGGUCCACGUGUGGAUUUUUGUAUGUACUUUAUGAAUAAGGAUCGGCUAACUCCGUGCCAGCCGCAGC